GCGGCACAACUACUGCAUUCUUGAAGGUCGGAUGCACGCAUGCGAAGACAGUAAACAGACCAACCUUCAACCUGUCGCCAUCAGAUCUGAUUGAUAUUCCUAGUGAAGCCCGAAGCAUCAGAAAUAGAUUCAUCACUCAGAUUUGGGCUAAGGGUGGACGAGAGUUGGCUAGGGACGAAGCCCGAAACCUGCUUAAACCAGAUAGCGGUGCCGAAGGUUGAUAACCCAAAGCAUAUUCCGAAGGUUGCUAAGAUGAAGCUUCUCUUUAAGCCUUCAUGUAUAGAACUAAGGAAUAUUUGCAUUAUCUUUGCAAAAAAUUGUAAUCGAGAAUUAAACAGUACUGUGUAUAUUUGCCAUACCUUGUAAUAUAUUUUUACCUUUUCAUCCA